rnacentral:pre_miRNA from 1 species
AAUAAACGAAUUUAUGAAUUAUUGGAUAUAAUUUUUGACUCUUCGUCUUAUUUAAAGAAAUUAUGAUUAAUAUUUUUAUUGUUACUACAUGAUAAAACAUGAAUAGUACUUUACAUGCGACUAAUUAUUUUUAGUUUUUUAAUAUUUUUUUUAAAUAAGACGGAUGGUCAAACGCUCAAACUAGAAAACCUAGAAAUCCUCGACGG